UAUAUACUCCCUCCGUCCCAAAAUUCUUGUCUUAGAUUUGUCUAAAUACGGAUGUAUCUAGUUACGUUUUAGUGUUAGAUACAUCCGUAUCUAGACAAAUCUAAGACAAGGAUUUUGGGACGGAGGGAGUAUAUA
rnacentral:pre_miRNA from 1 species